CCGAAAAGGUCAUCAGUUCACCCACCGCUGUAUACUGAGCACAAACACAGAUGAGCCGAGCGAUCUGCUUGAUGACUCGACUGAUCUUGACGGCUGCUUCGCGCUCCAAUCCGUGUAUCUGUGUUUGCACUGGAUAACACGAGGGUGUGCUGCAGAAGACUGCAAUGUUUUAUCACUCACCGGGUUACAUAGGCUGAAGCAGGCAAGCGUCCUCACAGUGUUUAACUAGUGCCAUGAGCUGAAGUCUGGGAGGACACUUAAGCGCAUCACUGAGAUUGUGAUCUUGUUUGAUGCUAAAUUGCUUUUAAUUGUUUAAAAUAAACUUACUAAAUAAUAUUAAAGUGAUGGUUACACCAUUUCUGCAUUUUGAAAUCUCUGCAACAGCUGGAGGUGUAUAGUUCACGGCAUGUUACUGCAAUGUUUACAGUGCUGGACCUAUACUUCUGGGUUUCUUCCCACCGCAGCCUCGCUUUGAUU
ensembl:processed_transcript